CGCCAUCUGGCCACACUUAGAAAAGCCGUCAUAGAUACAACCAGCAAAGCGAAGAAUUUGCUUAUUUUUGCAAUUUAAACUAGGAAACUGAUGAAGGCGGAGACUGUAAGUGUGGAUCUGAGAUACGAACGCUACAGCAUAGUAAGUAAUGCCAAAAUCGUAGGCGCAAUUCGACUUUAUAGUGUGCGUGAAUUGAAAAAGCAAAAAGAUAUUACAAGUGAAUUGUGUACAAGAAAAGACGCAAGAGAAAAGAAGAAGAAAAACGGAAAAUAUUAAAUUUAAAAAACGAGGUUCUAGAGCGGACAUCUUCGAUAGAUAGCCGGCCAUUUUUUUUUUGUAAUUUUUUAUAAAAGUGUCUCGCCAUGAGCUUUUUGCCCGGCGAGCCGUUGCCGCCUGGAUACGAGGAGGAUGAAGUGGCCAGGCCGGCGAUUAUCCAAAAGCAGAUUGAAAGCUACAGUGGAGGACCCCUUCUGGGGACAGAGUACGCCAUUGAACUCCACGAGGUCGGUCAACCGCGUCCCGACUACUACUGCGUCCUGUGCCAAACUUGCAACGACAGCCGCUCCAUCUUCGUGCACUGGACCUCGCUGGCGCAUCGGGCCAAGUACCUCCAGACGCACUUUCAGAAGGCCUACGACGUGCUCCAGAAACUGAAGCGCAUUCCUAACAGUGCCGGCGAUCUGGUUAUCGCCACCGGGAAUCUAGCUCAGCUAAUCGAGAAGCACUUUGGGCGGCCGCGUCAGGUGACGACGUCGACCAACGAGGAGUUCCGCCGCCACCGAGACAAAAUGUUUAACCAGGUGAGGGACAAGUUCCACUUCGACGAGAGUUCUGGUUCCGAUUUUGUGGAGCAGGCCCAUGGCGUACUCCGUGAGCUUAAGUCCGACGAUCCCAGCAUCAAGAUCAACCUGAAGAUCAACGAGCCCGAGAAGCGCGAGGAAGGCAACAUCAUCUCCCUGGACGCCAUAUCCAGUGACGAUGAAAGCUUCGGCCCCGGACCUGGCCCCGGAGUGGCUAACGAAACAUCAAAAAAGACGCCGGGCAAUCGAGGCGCGAACAGCUCGCCUCCGGCUCCAGGCGCCGACAAGUCGAAGCACCUUCAACACCUGCCCACGCCAAAGGAACUGUCCAUCCAGGCUAACAUGAUUGCGCAGGAGCGCUACAAGUGGGAGAAGUUCCGCUGCCUUCUCGAAAUCCAGCUGAAAAAGCUUCGCGACGAGACGGAGACCUACGAGUCAAAUCCUGAGAAGCAUCCGGACUAUCCGGACGAGUGGAAGCAGUUCUGGAAUAGGCGCUAUAAGCAGUUGCAGGAGGAAAAGAAGGUGGAUCCCAACCACUACGACUACAAACCGGAGUGGAUUGCCUAUUGGAAGGACCGCCGCAUCGAAUUAUUCAAUAUAGCCGUCAACAAGAUCAAGAAGGAGCUCAAGGAAAAGUUCAAGCUGGGCGACGACGACGAGGGCAAGACCAAGGAGCUAAUGGAGCGCUAUAGGAUCCGGGUCUCUAGUCCGAGGGAUCCCAGUGUUGCCGUCAAUCGUCGCAAGCUAGCCCCCAGGAACGCUGGUCGCCCAGCUGGAGGCGGUCCAGCGGGUCCGGCUGCUGUGGAAGCGGUAAUAAACAUAAGCGAUGACGAAGGCUCCCAGCCAGCAAGUCGAAAUCGUCCCGCCUAUCGCCGAACCGAUUCCCGCUCCAUAUCGCCCAAGCGCGGUGGCGGACGUCGGCCAGCAAGGCGCUCUCGGAGUCGCUCGCCGCGAAGACACUUCAGACGCGGCUCUUCCCGUUCCCGUUCCCGCUCGCGCAGCUUGCGACGGCGGUCGCGCUCUCCCGGCUAUCAUCGCAGACGCGGGGGCCGGCAUUCCAGAGACAGAAGCCUGUCGCCCAGUCCGCGGGAGUACCCAGAUCGUCGCAGCUUUGACAGGGAACGCUCUAGUGAGUUCUAUCGCGGAGGAGGAGGGGAUAGCUACAACCGCCCGCCUCGGAGUUACGACCACAUAGAAAGUUUUCGCGUGAUGGACUCGCGCGUUUAUCCAGAGUACAGUUUGCCAAAGGUCCGAUCCAGGUCGCCGUCCACCUCUGCCCCCAAGGACAAGGAGCCGGCGGAGCUCGUAGAAGAAGGACCUCUGACCGUAGUCAGUGUGCUGCGCAUGCUGUCCGCUGUGGAGGACCACUUGGGCAGCUUGGGACCAAAGGCACUUAACCUCCUGAGCAAGGCUUUAGCCAUGGAAAUGGUGCAGCCGAAUGCCGCGGACAACCUCCUGCUCAACGAGGACAAUUGCGUCUUCCUUGAGACCACCAAAGAGAAGCUGAAGGGCAUCCUCAUCGCAGAGGUCCUGGACGACCCGCACAAGGUACGCGUGGUCAAGAAACUGAUCACAAACAUUGCGGCCAUCAUUUUCCAGGUCAACUCCCGGGGUCCCAGCGAAUCCUCGGACGCAAACGCCAAGGCCGGGAACGAGGCGAAGCCGCUUUCCUCCACCUUUCAGCUGCCCUUCGACCGGAACGUGCUGGCUCCGAAGCUGGCCAGUGCGCUGGUGGUCAAGGGCUACUUCGACGUGACCACCGAUGACAUGAACAAGCUGCUCCACUUCUUCGGGCUACUGGCAAAGACUGACAAGCAGCGUCGGGAGGUGUACAAGGACACGCUCGACUUCGACGAGGUGCGUGCUAGGCUGGGUUUGUCCAGGGAGUCAAAGUCCGCGAAGGGGACCGGGCCGACGGCCUCAGGCGACUCUGAGUCCACGCCCAUUGGCAUCGACCUGGACGAACUGAUGAAGGAGGUGGAAAACCAGCUGCACAAGGAGUCAGGAGACGCGGGCGCGGGAGGAGCCGGAAAGACGAACGAAUCUUCAUCGGGCAGCAACGGAUUGAUGGAGUCCCUGACCGAUUCGGACCUGCAGACGCUACUCCAGAACUUCAAGUUCCUAUCCAGCGAGGAGCAGGUACAUCUGAUUGGACAUUUGCGGAAACUGGAGGUCCAGGAGCCGACUCGCGUCGAAAGGCUUAGAAAAUUCGUGAACCUGGCCGAGCUGAGCGGCGACGGCGAGUCCUGCAGUGACUUCUUGUCGCGUGUUGUUGCUAAGACGGGUGUUGACAAGUCAUCGGCAUCAUCGUCACUGCGAGGAGCUGCCCUGACGGGUGGUGGCUCAUCCUCGGGUGCCUCGGCUGCCUCUGCCUCCCUGUCCUCCCUGACAGCGCGGCGUCGCAGCUCGGAGCGGGAGAGCGGAAGCCGGGACCUGGCAAACCUCCCAAUCAACAAGCCGAGAUCAGUGGGCCGUGGAUCACCCUCCUUCGUGAUCGAUGACGACGAGGACGACGACGAUGACGACUACAACUUUGACGAUCUAGUGAUGAAGGCCUGCGACACCAAUGGAUCCGCUGGCGGCGGAAGCGGUGGUAACAAGGCUGGAGCCGCCCCGGUCUCUGCGCCCUCGGAAUCCUCUACGAAUUCGUUGACUUUCAAGCCUGCAGCUCCAAAGAUCUCUCUCGCCGACACGGAAACCAUUAUUGCCAAUCUGAUGGGCACCCUGAGCAAGGGGACGGGCUCGCAGGGGGGUUCUCUUUCGGGUUCGGGCUCAGGUCUAGGAUCGGGAGACCGAGGUGGAUCGGUUCGCAACUUCAACAUGAUGAAUCCGCAUCAGUCGAGUCAGAGUGUCAACCAGCAGCAGCACCCACAUCCACUUCCGCAGCAACAACACCAGCAUCAGCAACAGCAACAGCACCAACAGAUACAGCAUCCACAGUUCGGGAAUCCGAACCAAGGCUAUCCGACGCAGCAGAUGAGCGGGGUACCUGAUCCGUAUGGAAACCAGCAGGGCUAUGGUGGCUACCAGUAUGGAGGCGCUAGCGGCAUGCAGCCGCAGUUCCCCGGACAUACCGGAUACGGAGGACCCGGCAUAAAUCCCUGGGCCAGCAACGAUCCCUCGCAGCAGCAGCCCCAGUACAACCCGAUGCCCCAGGGCUACAUGCAGCAGCAGGCUCACUACAACAACGUGUACGGCGGUCGUCAAUAGACCCUCCACGCCACAAACUAGGGAUAGUGUUUAGCUUUAGCUCCGAAGUCAUCGAUGCGAAGGGGUGCCUCCGUGGGCAGCCCGUGCCCGAGAAUGCGGUUUGGGACGCGGAAUAAAAAUGGACUCGAAAGAAUGUUCACACCUCAAUGUUUUUUUCUCGCACGCGGGAGCGCUGUAACCUGAAAUUCACAAACUCUUAAACCAUUUGAAGUGGACGUGCAAGCAUGUAUUGUUAGCCUUAAGUGAGUUGCCGCAAAACCACCUUGUUUGAUAAUAAAGAUGAGAAAAAACGCA
rnacentral:misc_RNA from 1 species